GUGUCAGCCGCCGCGGUAAUACAGAGGUCCCGAGCGUUGUUCGGAUUCACUGGGCGUAAAGGGUGCGUAGGUGGCCUAAAAAGUUUGAUGUGAAAGCUCAGGGCUUAACCCUGAAAUGGCAUUGAAUACUGUUGGGCUGGAGGUUUGGAGGGGGGACUGGAAUUCUUGGUGUAGCAGUGAAAUGCGUAGAUAUCAAGAGGAACACCAGUGGCGAAGGCGAGUCCCUGGACAACACCUGACACUGAGGCACGAAAGCCGGGGGAGCAAACAGGAUUAGAAACCCCUGUAGUCC
rnacentral:rRNA from 1 species